ACUCCUACGGGAGGCAGCAGUGGGGAAUAUUGCACAAUGGGCGCAAGCCUGAUGCAGCCAUGCCGCGUGUGUGAAGAAGGCCUUCGGGUUGUAAAGCACUUUCAGUAAGGAGGAAGGUUAGUAGUUAAUACCUGCUAGCUGUGACGUUACUUACAGAAGAAGCACCGGCUAACUCCGUGCCAGCAGCCGCGGUAAUACGGAGGUGCGAGCGUUAAUCGGAAUUACUGGGCGUAAAGCGUACGCAGGCGGUUUGUUAAGCGAGAUGUGAAAGCCCCGGGGCUCAACCUGGGAACUGCAUUUCGAACUGGCAAACUAGAGUGUGAUAGAGGUGGUAGAAUUUCAGGUGUAGCGGUGAAAUGCGUAGAGAUCUGAAGGAAUACCGAUGGCGAAGGCAGCACCUGGGUCAACACUGACGCUCAUGUACGAAAGCGUGGGAGCAAACGGGAUUAGAUACCCCUGGUAGGACAGUG
rnacentral:rRNA from 1 species